rnacentral:lncRNA from 1 species
GUUUGGCCCCUGACUCGACAGUGCUUGUCCAGUGAGUGUUUUACACAUUAUAUGGAACCCCAGGACCAGAGCCAGAGUCACAAAGUCAGGGGCAGUAUAUAGUGUGCAAUUAAUAGCCAAUGGAAUCUUCGGUAGCAAGCUAAGAACCUGCAGAGAAACCUCAAACCCAGCCUGCUGGAUGGUGCCAAGAUCCAAAUGUACAGACAAUGUCCACUGCACAGAGGUUAACGUCAAGGCUGUCACAUUGGAGUGACUUGACAGUGUCACCCAUGUACUGAAUAAUAAGGCUGACAUCUAAACUCAUCCUGUGGACACAGUGGAGGGCAGCAGAUGCACUUGGAGUAGGAGUUGGAAGCAGCUGGAGAAUCAGUUGUCGGUAGGGAUGCAUGGAGCUGCUACUGUCUUGCCUUCAAGAAACCUACAGCCAAUAACAACAGGAGACUCCCUGAGAAGAAUGAAAAGAGCAGUGAACUUGGAAUAAGAC